GCCUUCAUGGUGUAGUGGUCAGCACGCUGGGCGUGCAUUCCAGAGAGCGUGGUUCGAAUCCCAGCAAAGGCG
rnacentral:tRNA from 1 species